GACGAACGCUGGCGGCGUGCUUAACACAUGCAAGUCGAACGGAAAGGCCCUGCUUUUGUGGGGUGCUCGAGUGGCGAACGGGUGAGUAACACGUGAGUAACCUGCCCUUGACUUUGGGAUAACUUCAGGAAACUGGGGCUAAUACCGGAUAGGAGCUCCUGCUGCAUGGUGGGGGUUGGAAAGUUUCGGCGGUUGGGGAUGGACUCGCGGCUUAUCAGCUUGUUGGUGGGGUAGUGGCUUACCAAGGCUUUGACGGGUAGCCGGCCUGAGAGGGUGACCGGCCCCAUUAGGACUGAGCUACGGCCCAGACUCCUACGGGAGGCAGCAGUGGAGAAUAUUGCAUAAUGGGCGGAAGCCUGAUGCAGCAACGCCGCGUGCGGUAUGACGGCCUUCGGGUUGUAAACCGCUUUCGCCUGUGACGAAGCGUGAGUGACGGUAAUGGGUAAAGAAGCACCGGCUAACUACGUG
rnacentral:rRNA from 1 species